ACACGUACGAGUAACAUGGUAACAUGCGUUCGUAAGAUGAAUGCCCGGAAGAGGGUAAAGUGAGGAUGCAGGCAGCUGGCACAAGGGAGGCAGCGCGAAUAGUUUAGUUCAUUCGGUUUGUUAACUUAUCAGCCGAAAUCUCCCCUUCUGUUACAUUUGAGAGUGUGCGUGGAUAUACAAGUGUUGCAUUACAGAAAACUUUUAUUAUUAGUUACUUGCGCACUUACCGAUAACUGCAUUACUUCCCUGAGUUGUGGAAGCGGUAUUUAAUUGUAAUUCCCCGAUUCCGUUAAUACUACAUCGUUUAAAUUAUUCCUGUUUAUAUUGGCAUGUACAUUUAAUUCGCGAGUGUGUUGAGUUAUAUAAUUUGCCUUUCGUGUUACCAGCAGCAAUGUGCAGUCGCUAAUUGAGUAUGUUAUAGAGUGUAAGAUUGAUUCGCAUUAUGGGAUGUAUUGCAUUGGAUUCAUUAGGUGAGAAUAUAAUCCUCAUUAUGUUGAUGUUACUGUUUAAUUUAAGUUUGUAUUCAUUUUAGAACCACACUCAUGGAUAUUUAUGCAUAUGUACUUAUGUUCCUGGGUUCUACAUAUAAUCCCACUGCAAGUAAAUAACUAAGGACUGGACAAUGGUGUCUGACUCUUCCUACUAAGUCUAGUACGUCUUCACAGUCCUGACCGACUGGCCGCAGCAUUUCUGCAUCACCUGGACCAAGUUUUAUUGAGGUUAAGUCACCCUACAGUUCAAGGGCAGUUUUUGAUUGAAAAUGAAACAGGUGUGAGGAAUACACUGGAGUGCUCAAUAGCAAAGACCUCAAAAACCAAGACAGAGGUUAGCCCAGAUCAGGCCAGGGAAUAGAUGGUAUCCCAAAAGAUAUAUUUCAAGCAAUAUAAGAAGCAUUGAAGUGUUGACCAAAUUAUGCCAACAAAUAAAAAAAAAACAGCCCCUGACAGAUUAGAAUAGAUUUCUAUUCUGAUACCAAAGAAAGGAGAUCUGAGAAUACACAAACUCAUAUGAUUUUCCUCAUAUUAAAUUUCAAAUAGAUUAUGAUUAAGAUCUUUCUACGCAGAUCAGAACUCUAUAGAAAGAGACUCACAUUAUGUACAGACUGAAGUCUGGAAAUGCCGAAAAACAGGAGACAUUUCAAAGUACAAUGGAUAAUUUAUACAAACAAAUAAAAUCCAAGGAAUACCAACAAGAGAUUACAAAGAGCCUUUGCUGAUUGUAACAUAACCUUUGAUUGUGUUGACCAUGUCAAACUGUGGAAUGCUUCCAGGAAAAAGAAUGUACCAGAGCAGGUUAUUGUCUUUGUAGCAAAGUGGGAAGUUUGGAUCAGUUUGCGUUUGAUUGGCUCAUCUCAGUCCUGGGAGGUGUUUAGUCUCUAAAAUAAAGCGGGCGGCGUGGUAGGAAUAGCACUGGUGCCGGAGGCAGAUGGGUGAGCGCGCAGUGUGGUCAAUUGGCGCACUCUCCACCGUCCCAAAGAAACUGAAGCGGAGUACGCUGGGGAUUCGGCAGUUUACCGGUGGAAGUGGACAUCGUUGCUGUUUUGUCAGUCACGCUAUCAACACAACGACGUACUCUGUGGAUCGUCUGGGUACACUGGGCUGUUUGACUCGAUCAGCGUUGGUACGGUGGGGUAGCCCAGCGCGAAUCAGCAGUACCCAUCUAUUCAUCGCAUUGUGCCUGGCCAAUAGGCUGCCUGAAGUUUUUCUUUAUUUGGGUUUAAUUUGGGUUGAUUGGUUACUGGAUGGAGUGAUUUCAUUUAAUUUUUGUUUCUUUGAUGUUGCGUUUACUCUGAUUUAUUGUUUUGCUUAUUUGGUUAUUAUAUAUUUCGUUGGAGUGUUUUGUUUUUCUUCUUUAUGAUUUUUGGACGUCUCAGUAAUGGACACUAAGGCGCAGGGAAGUGUACUGCUGUUUUAACCCCCUGUCUUGUCUUCCUGCUUGUGUUUCAGGGCUAGUACCUUAGAGCCGCAAGAGCAGAGUCUUCCCUACUGGUGGUGGUGAAUUUCACUUUUGUGCAUGUGCAGUGCAGGUCACCGACAUUAGCCCACUGAGCAUGUGUGUGCUUGCCUGUGUGUGUGUGAUCACGAGAGUGUUUAUGGAGGUCCCGCUUGUGGCGAGUCCCUUGUCCAUCUGGCAGUUGAUACCCUUUAUCUUGCUUAGUCCACAACAUUGGUGCCUCAGUUUGAUGCUUUCUACUUAUUGUGUUAAGCAUAGAAUUACUAUUCUCAUUUAUAUGUAAUAAAAUAAUUUUUUAUCAA